rnacentral:rRNA from 1 species
GACGAACGCUGGCGGCGUGCUUAACACAUGCAAGUCGAACGGAAAGGCCCUGCUUUUGUGGGGUGCUCGAGUGGCGAACGGGUGAGUAACACGUGAGUAACCUUCCCUUGACUUUGGGAUAACUUCAGGAAACUGGGGCUAAUACCGGCUAGGAGCUCCUGCUGCAUGGUGGGCGUUGGAAAGUUUCGGCGGUUGGGGAUGGACUCGCGGCUUAUCAGCUUGUUGGUGGGGUAGUGGCUUACCAAGGCUUUGACGGGUAGCCGGCCUGAGAGGGUGACCGGCCACAUUGGGACUGAGAUACGGCCCAGACUCCUACGGGAGGCAGCAGUGGGGAAUAUUGCACAAUGGGCGGAAGCCUGAUGCAGCAACGCCGCGUGCGGGAUGACGGCCUUCGGGUUGUAAACCGCUUUCGCCUGUGACGAAGCGUGAGUGACGGUAAUGGGUAAAGAAGCACCGGCUAACUACGUG